rnacentral:rRNA from 1 species
CSGGACCCUCCAYYUUAUGGUCAUAACWCAUGCAAGUCGAGCGGCAGCGGGAAAGUAGCUUGCUACUUUUSCCGGCGAGCGGCGGACGGGUGAGUAAUGCCUGGGAAAUUGCCCAGUCGAGGGGGAUAACAGUUGGAAACGACUGCUAAUACCGCAUACGCCCUACGGGGGAAAGCAGGGGACCUUCGGGCCUUGCGCGAUUGGAUAUGCCCAGGUGGGAUUAGCUUGUUGGUGAGGUAAUGGCUCACCAAGGCGACGAUCCCUAGCUGGUCUGAGAGGAUGAUCASCCACACUGGAACUGAGACACGGUCCAKACUCCUACGGGAGGCAGCAGUGGGGAAUAUUGCACAAUGGGGGAAACCCUGAUGCAGCCAUGCCGCGUGUGUGAAGAAGGCCUUCGGGUUGUAAAGCACUUUCRGCGAGGAGGAAAGGUUGAUGCCUAAUACGCAUCAGCUGUGACGUUACUCGCAKAAGAAGCACCGGCUAACUCCGUGCCAKCAGCCGCGGUAAUACGGAGGGUGCAAGCGUUAAUCGKAAUUACUGGGCGUAAAGCGCACGCAGGCGGUUGGAUAAGUUAGAUGUGAAAGCCCCGGGCUCAACCUGGGAAUUGCAUUUAAAACUGUCCAGCUAGAGUCUUGUAGAGGGGGGUAGAAUUCCAGGUGUAGCGGUGAAAUGCGUAKAGAUCUGGAGGAAUACCGGUGGCGAAAGGCGGCCCCCUGSACAAAGACUGACGCUCAGGUGCGAAAGCGUGGGGAGCAAACAGGAUUAGAYACCCUGGUAGYCCACGCCUGUAAACGAUGUCGAUUUGGAAGGCUGUGUYCUUKGAGMACGUGGCCUUCCGGAGCYUAACGCGKUAAAUUCGACCGCCCUGGGGAGCUACGGCCGMMACGGUAAAACUUCAAAUGAWAUUGACGGGGGCCCCCGCACAAGCGGUGAAGCAUKUGGUWUAUUUCGAUGCACYCGAAAAAYCUUACYUGGCCUUGAMUGUCUAGAAUCUUGMCRRAWUGCKGGAAGUGCCUUCGGAAUWCAAAACCMAGGGUGCUGACAUGGCUKAUCYUUMACUCGUUCGAGAAWGUUUGAUUAAGUCCACGAACYGAGCAAACCCCGUGAU